rnacentral:rRNA from 1 species
GACAGAGGGUGCAAACGUUGUUCGGAAUUACUGGGCGUAAAGGGCGCGUAGGCGGGAUGGCAAGUCGGUCGUGAAAUCCUUCGGCUCAACCGAAGAACGUCGAUCGAUACUGCUGUUCUUGAGGGUUGCAGAGGAGACUGGAAUUCCCGGUGUAGCGGUGAAAUGUGUAGAGAUCGGGAGGAACACCGGUGGCGAAGGCGGGUCUCUGGGCAAUUCCUGACGCUGAGGCGCGAAAGCGUGGGGAGCAAACGGG